UCGGUACAUUCUGUAGAAAGUUAUGCGGUAUAGUACAACGUAAGUCGACGAAAAAAGCAUCAAGUAAAAACGCAUUAUUAGAUAUAACUCGAAAAGUAGUUGUUAGAUCUCAAAUAAAUUUAAAUGGGACCAAUUGGCACACACCACCUUUCGAUUAAAACAAAAUUUGUCGAAAUCGCUUCACCCAGUCAAAAGUUCUGAUGUAACAUACAUAAAAAAAAAAAAAAUACAGUCGAAUUGAGAACCUCCUCCUUUUUUGGAAGUCGGUUAAAAAAAUUUUGUGCUUUAGACCAAACGACUGAAGUAAAACGUACGAAACGUACUUCUCUCU
rnacentral:misc_RNA from 1 species